rnacentral:lncRNA from 1 species
AAACAAAACCCUGAAGAAACCCCUGAUGAAACCCUUGAAUUACACUCCUGAUUAUUUUGGUGGAACUUAUCAUGCAUGAGGAUAGGUUGCUAAGCUGGGAAUGUGAGAGGUUAAAACCUACUCAUCGGUUGGUAACUGUCGCAACCUGAAAAAUACAGUGUGCGAAAAAACAACCGGCGAAAGAAAAUGACAGAAGAGUCG